rnacentral:rRNA from 1 species
UACGGAGGGUGCAGGCGUUAAUCGGAAUUACUGGGCGUAAAGCGUGCGCAGGCGGUCUUUUAAGUCAGAUGUGAAAUCCCCGGGCUUAACCUGGGAACUGCGUUUGAAACUGGAAGGCUAGAGUGUGGCAGAGGGGGGUGGAAUUCCACGUGUAGCAGUGAAAUGCGUAGAGAUGUGGAGGAACACCGAUGGCGAAGGCGGCGUUCUGGACUGCUACUGACACUGAGGAACGAAAGCCAGGGGAGCAAACGGG